CGUAACACGUGAGCAACCUGCCUAGGUGUGGGGGAUAGCCGGCCCAACGGCCGGGUAAUACCGCAUACGCUCUUCUCGAGGCAUUUCGAGACGAGGAAACCUUCGGGGCACUAUGAGGGGCUCGCGGCCUAUCAGCUAGUUGGUGAGGUAACGGCUCACCAAGGCGACGACGGGUAGCUGGUCUGAGAGGAUGGCCAGCCACAUUGGGACUGAGAAACGGCCCAG
rnacentral:rRNA from 1 species